AUUGAACGCUGGCGGCACGCCUAACACAUGCAAGUCGAGCGGUAACAUGAUUUGUAGCAAUACAAAUUGAUGACGAGCGGCGGACGGGUGAGGAACACGUAGGAAUCUGCCCAGAAGCGGGGGACAACCAAGGGAAACUUUGGCUAAUACCGCGUAAUCUCGCAAGAGUAAAGCUGCCCGCAAGGGUGGCGCUUCUGGAGGAGCCUGCGUCCGAUUAGCUAGUUGGUGAGGUAAGAGCUCACCAAGGCGAUGAUCGGUAACUGGUCUGAGAGGACGACCAGUCACACUGGGACUGAGACACGGCCCAGACUCCUACGGGAGGCAGCAGUGGGGAAUAUUGGACAAUGGGGGCAACCCUGAUCCAGCGAUGCCGCGUGGGUGAAGAAGGCCUUCGGGUUGUAAAGCCCUUUAGGUUGGGAAGAAGUGUACGGGGCGAAUAACCCCGUAUGUUGACGGUACCGACAAAAUAAGCACCGGCAAACUCUGUGCCAGCCGCCGCAGUAA
rnacentral:rRNA from 1 species